GGUAUAGUGGCCGAGCGAAGGCGGCGAGUUGUAGCCUCGCCUACCGGGUAGUCCCGCAAUACCAGGCC
rnacentral:tRNA from 1 species